rnacentral:rRNA from 1 species
UACGGAGGAGGCAAGCGUUAUCCGGAAUUAUUGGGCGUAAAGCGUCCGCAGGUGGCACUUCAAGUCUGUCGUCAAAGACUGGGGCUUAACCCCGGAAAGGCGGUGGAAACUGAAGCGCUAGAGUGCGGUAGGGGUAGAGGGAAUUCCCGGUGUAGCGGUGAAAUGCGUAGAGAUCAGGAAGAACACCGGUGGCGAAGGCGCUCUGCUGGGCCGUAACUGACACUGAGGGACGAAAGCUAGGGGAGCGAAUAGG